AUAUGCUUGCUCCGAAGCUUAAGCCAUGCAUGUCUAAGAAUAAGUAGCUUGAUCCUGAAUCUGCGAACGGCUCCGUAUAUCUGUUAUAACCCAUUGCCUCUCGCACCCUCUCGACGGAUACCCACGGUAAUUCUGUGGCUAAUACGUAGAUCUGCCCGGGGUCUCCUUAUGGGACCUUGGGGUAUCGCGCCUAUACUCACCAGUGCCCCCCCUCGUCCUGGUGGGCGGGGGUGGGUGCGGCAGGAAAGGCUCGCGGUUAUCCAAUGCCGGCUCGGGGAGCCGGGGAGAGCAGGGGGUUUCAGACCUAUCAACUAGAAGACUGGGGAGAGCCCAGCCUUGGUUAUAACGGGUACAGAGGAUCAGGGUUCGGUCCUGGAGAGGUAGCCUGAGAGAUCGCUACUACUUCUAAGGAAGGCAGCAGGCGCGCAACGUUCCCAAUGGGCAUUUGCCUGAGGACGUGAAGGGGCAUAGCAAUGCCGGGCCAUAUGGCUCGGCAAUUGAAAUGGGGUGUCUUUAAAUCCCACACCGAGUAACAAUUGGAGGACAAGUCUGGUGCCAGCACCCGCGGUAAUUCCAGCUCCGAUAGCAUCUAAUUAAGUUGUUGCAGUUAAAACGCUCGUAGUCGUAUUUGGUGUGGGGCUUCGGCGACUAGUAGUCCCCGGGAACAACGUGCCUUGGCCCUCGUCCCCCCCCGCCCCUGUAAGGCCGGCAGCCCGCAAGGGCCGUCGUGUGCUGGGGGCGGGGGGUAGGGGUGUCCAUUGGCAUGCCCGGGGGGGAACACCGUCAGGGCCCCCGCCCUCUCAGCCCCGGUACUUGCGGGGGGCCGGCUUUAUUGCCCGGCUCACCGUCCCGGGGUGGUUUACUUUGAAUAAAAUCGAGCGCUCAACGCAGGCCUUACGGCCCACCCACAACCCCCCUGAAGAUAGCAGCAAAGGAUAAUGAAACAGGAUCCCUCCUGGUUCAUUGGUGUUAGGCGGGGAUAAUGGUCAAUACGGGGGAUCGGGGCCGGCCACACGGCGGGGGGAGGGGUGAAAUCUGUUGAUCCCCGCCAGGUGAACCAGAGCGAAAGCAGCCGGCCAGUACCCUUUGUUUGAUCAAGAACGAAAGUCUGGGGAUCGAAGACGAUUAGAUACCGUCGUAGUCCAGACCCUAAAUGAUGCCGGCCAUGGAUGGGCCCGAGUCCAUCCCGACCCGGCCUGGACCUUGUGGGAAACCAUUAAGCGUUUGGGCUCUGGGGGGAGUAUGGCCGCAAGGCUGAAACUUAAAGGAAUUGACGGAAAAGCACACAAGGAGUGGAGCCUGCGGCUUAAUUUGACUCAACACGGGGAAACUUACUAGAGCAAGAGAGGGGUAUGAGGGCCAGCCUAGCAGGGCUUGCCCGAUUCCCUCAGUGGUGGUGCAUGGUCGUUCUUAGUUCGUGGAGUGAUUUGUCUGGUCUAUUCCGCUAACGAACGAGAACCCGACCUCCCGGUGUUGGGGCCCCGGGCAUGCCAGCCUCCCCCUCGGGGUCGAGGCAGGCUGAGAAAGCCCGGGGGCCCGGCCUGGGGGGGCCGCCCCCGUCAAGGGGCCGUUAGCGGGUCAAUAACAGGUCAGUGAUGCCCUUAGAUGCUCUAGGCCGCACGCGCGCUACAAUGGGGGGAACUAGCGGGUUCGGGGCCCCGGAAGGCGGCGCCAGAUCCUCGAAAUCCCCCCUCACUCGGGAUAGGGCUAUGUAACGCGGCCCUUGAACAAGGAAUUUCUAGUAGCCAUGGGUCAGCACCCCGUGGCGAUUC
rnacentral:rRNA from 1 species